GGCAUGGUGGCUCAGUGGUUAGAGCGCUCAGCCUCAAUGAAUGGGAGGUCCGUGGGUUCGAACCCCGGUCCGAGUCA
rnacentral:tRNA from 1 species